CAGGCAUUUAGGGUCAAGCCACCAAAAGGGGAGUGAUCCUGCACUGGGGCUUAGCGCCACAAAGAAGAGCCCACCGAUGCGAGUCUUUGACAGUUGUCAAGGGCAUUUUCUUGGCGAGUUGGGGCCUGAAGUGACAGAGACGGAGACUAUAGGAUCGGAGGCUGAAAAUCAGCGAGUGGGGGAAAGCAGUGUGAAGGAACUCAAGGUAGUACCCAGGCAAGGAGUCCAUGUCAUGAAAUGAGCUAUACUUCUGGAGUCAGAUCUGCUUUGGUAGAGACGCAGCGAGAGAGGAAACACAAGCAGGAGGAGUGGGAGAGGGAGAAGCAGGCU